rnacentral:rRNA from 1 species
AUGUGCAUACCGAAGUAAAAAGGAGGCAUGGGGUUUAGAGACAUUCAUUGCUUUAACUUUGCACUGUUGGCUAAACAAGCUCAGCGUCUUAUCGGUAACCCAGAUUCUCUAUGUGCACAAAAUUUGAAAGCGAAAUAUUAUCCAGAUGGUGAUCUCAUGAGUGCCAAGUUAAAAAAUAAAGCCUCAUAUACUUGGCAGAGCAUUAUGGCAGGUGUUGAAACUUUAAAUAUUGGGCAUAUAUGGAGAGUUGGUGAUGGAGAGAACAUAAAAAUUUGGGAGGAUGAGUGGAUACCAAAAUCUCCAUCACGGAAGGUGAUUACAAUCAGGGGUAACAAUCUCCUUACUCGUGUGAGUGAUCAUAUAGAUCCUGUAUCAGGAGACUGGGAUGAAUCAUUGAGCAGGCAAACAUUUUGGGAUUUGGAUGCCCAACAGAUCCUGGCAAUACCCCUUCCUUUGCAUGAAAUGAGAGACUUCAUUGCAUGGAAUGCUUCUAAAACAUGA